UACGCAUGUAUGUAUUUGUAUCAUCACUAGCUUUGAAAAUGUGUUGUCAAGUCCCAAGGCGAUGCAAGCGUGGAAAACUUUACCGACAGUCCCUAGAAAAAUCUCUAGAAAUGAGUUCUCAAAUUACGUCGUCAUUACUGAACAGAUUGCAAAGAAACUCGAGGGACGUGUUCAGGAGGCUCUAAAGAAUGUUAGUCUGGUCUUUCUAUUACUCAAAUUGUCAAAAAGUUAUAAAAUAUUGAAAUUUAUGUCUGUCAAUGGUCAAGAAAAUGGCGGAUCGGACUCAUCUGCGUUAAUUUAUUCGUAAUAUAAACACUUCUACAAAUCGUAUGUCUAAAUGAACAGCAGACUAACAUUUAGUUUAGAAAAGUAGUGGGAACUACGAUUUCGUUCAUUAUUCACUCGCGAAAGACGUCAAAAAGGUAAAACAGAGCACUUUAGUUCCUCAUUUUUUCUGUAGGGCGCAAUUCAUUCGUUUUGUGCGUUCGACCGCGCGAUCAUUCGCAGCUCGUGUGUGUGAAGCGGUCUCGACGCUUGUAUCGCUUUAAAUAGUAUUAAAAUAUUAUAUUAAAUUGUGUAUUCGGUAUCAAAAUUACAAAAAACUGAAGACAACGUUGAAGAGAAGAUCGGAGUCAUGAUUUCUGACAUCAUUUCCACAUUGCCUUGAGAAAUUCUUUCAAAGCAGUUCGAAGUUUCUACCAAUGGCUGUGAUUGGUCGUCUAUUAUGGCGUCCUUCCAUUUCGACCAAUCAGGUUUAUCGUUGUAGGGUGCAAUGCGCGGAGUGUGGUGGCGUGCAACAGUCGUCUCGAAGCUUCGUCCGUUUGGCACGUGUCUGCAACAGGUAUCGGCCGAUAGCAGAAUAUACCGAACAUUGCCGAGUGUUGCCGAAGUACCGACCGGUCUACGAUGGGAAGGAAGGUCUCGCCAUUGCUC